GGAGGAGGAGGAGGAGGAGGGAGGGGGCGGGAGAGAUUAGUUUGGGAAGUAGCACGGAUUGCUCAUCCGAUCCGUGCAGCCGCAGCGAGUGUGUCAAGUUACAGAGGCGCCGGAAUCGGCCCCAGCGCUCCUCGCCAGCCGCCACGACCCACCUCUGCCCAUGGGGCCCUCCAUGUGCGCCCCUUCGCCCGGGGACUGAAACUGGCUGGCCCGGGAGACACGAGGCUCCCAGAAGGACUGACAGCGCGGCACCAACUGCUCUGCAGACACUUGAAGGGAAAGACGGGGCGGAGAGAAGGAGAGCCGGUCAGAUUCCCCUAACUUUCCUGGACUUGGAACGUUCUUCGAAAUAACUUUUUUUCUCACCUAGGUGUGCCCCCAAUUACCGCUGGUUGUGCUUUUUCGGCGCUUCCCCUCUUACUGCUAAUUUUUCCGUCCUUUUUGCCGGGAGCAACGGAAAGGGACGUUUUCCAGCGAUACAAGCCCUUUCUCCCUGCCCCACAGUUUGGAUCGAGCCUUUUGGCAGCGGCUCUCGCCUUUAUUUAUUCUAUUUAUUUAUUUAUUGGUUCUCAAGACGUGAGAGGAUGGUAGCGGAGCACACCCUCAAAGCGGCAGCCGCCGGUGCCCGCGGCCCUGGGGAGCUGGGCGCGCCCGGGACGGUGGCUCUGGCGAUGGCGCGGGCGGAGCGCGGCGCGCGGCUGCCGAGCCCGGGGUCCUGCGGGCUGCUGGCGCUGGCUCUCUGCUCGCUGGCGCUCAGCCUGCUCGCCCACUUUCGGACGGCCGAGCUGCAGGCCCGGGUGCUGCGCCUGGAAGCCGAGCGCGGGGAGCAGCAAAUGGAGACGGCUAUUUUGGGACGAGUCAACCAACUGCUGGAAGAGAAAUGGAAGCUCCACUCAAGGAGGCGCCGGGAGGCCCCAAAGACAUCUCCAGGAUGUAACUGCCCACCAGGACCUCCUGGUCCCACUGGAAGGCCUGGACUCCCAGGGGACAAAGGUGCCAUUGGGAUGCCUGGACGUGUGGGAGUAAAGGGUCAACCAGGCGAGAAGGGGUCCCCCGGAGACGCUGGGCUGUCCAUCAUUGGUCCCCGCGGCCCACCUGGUCAACCAGGCACUCGAGGUUUUCCUGGAUUUCCGGGUCCCAUUGGGCUGGACGGCAAACCGGGCCACCCGGGACCAAAGGGGGAGAUGGGUCUGACAGGUCCCCCAGGACAACCGGGACCUCAGGGACAAAAAGGAGAAAAGGGUCAGUGUGGAGAGUACCCACACCGGCUGCUGCCUCUCCUCAAUUCAGUGCGACUGGCUCCACCCCCGGUCAUAAAAAGGCGGACUUUCCAGGGUGAACAGAGCCAGGCCAGCAUCCAAGGUCCACCAGGGCCCCCAGGGCCCCCUGGACCAAGUGGACCUCUGGGGCACCCAGGACUGCCAGGGCCCAUGGGGCCACCGGGCUUACCUGGGCCUCCUGGACCAAAGGGAGAUCCAGGGAUCCAGGGCUACCACGGCCGGAAGGGAGAACGGGGCAUGCCAGGGAUGCCAGGCAAGCAUGGAGCCAAGGGGACUCCCGGAAUUGCUGUGGCUGGGAUGAAGGGUGAGCCAGGGAUCCCAGGAACCAAGGGAGACCCAGGAGCAGAAGGGAAGCCGGGGCCCCCAGGUUUGCUGGGAAAAAGGGGGCAGAGGGGUGAGAAGGGGGCUGCAGGCUCCCCUGGGCUUCCUGGCCUCUUGGGGCAGAAGGGAGAGAAAGGUGAUGCUGGCAACUCCAUUGGAGGAGGCAGAGGGGAACCUGGCCCUCCAGGGCUCCCUGGGCCCCCAGGGCCCCCAGGGCCAAAGGGAGAAGCAGGUGUCGAUGGCCAGGUUGGCCCCCCAGGGCAGCAAGGAGACAAGGGGGAGCCUGGAGAACCGGGAGCAGCUGGAGAACCAGGAGCAGCUGGCCCCAAGGGCUCCAAGGGAGAACCAGGAAAAGGAGAGAUGGUGGAUUACAAUGGAAACAUCAAUGAGGCUCUCCAGGAGAUCCGGACGCUGGCCUUGAUGGGGCCUCCUGGUCUUCCUGGGCAAAUCGGCCCACCUGGAGCUCCAGGGAUUCCAGGCCAAAAGGGGGAGAUUGGACUGCCAGGCCCUCCAGGACACGAUGGGGAAAAGGGACCUCGCGGUAAACCAGGAGACAUGGGCCCUCCUGGUCCCCAAGGCCCCCCAGGAAAGGAUGGACCUCCAGGAAUGAAGGGAGAAAACGGGAACCCAGGGAGCCCAGGAGAGAAGGGGGAGAAAGGGGAGACAGGACAAGCAGGCUUGCCGGUUCCUGGGCCGCCAGGGCCAGAGGGGCCCCCCGGACCUCCGGGGCUUCAAGGUGUUCCUGGACCAAAGGGGGAAGCAGGACUAGAUGGAGCAAAAGGAGAGAAAGGCGUCCAGGGAGAAAAAGGAGACCGUGGUCCCCUGGGACUACCCGGAGCUUCAGGUUUGGACGGCAGGCCUGGGCCACCGGGUACUCCAGGACCAAUUGGAGUUCCAGGCCCAGCGGGACCAAAGGGCGAGAGGGGCAGCAAAGGAGACCCUGGGAUGACAGGACCAACGGGAGCAGCUGGGCUUCCUGGUUUACAUGGACCACCUGGGGACAAGGGAAACCGGGUUUGCAAGUUGGAAACAAAGAAGGCAAAUAAGCUAAGAUGAGAACCAAAUGUCUACACCAAUGCUACCAAAAUCUAUCUGUUCAUUUGACCGGUGAAAUUCUGCCUGCUAUUGGAGUUGCUUUAUAACCACAGCUGCAAGGCGAAGACGGCUUACCAGUCCAGGGCUGCUGGAACAAGUGAUGCCUCUAACCUUGGAUUGGCCUGUGUGUGUUUGUACAUAGAAUAUUUAUUUUUAUACAGUUUUCACUUUUUGAAAAUGCCAGAAGUAUGAUGCCUCUUACAGAUUAUUAAAAAAGAAAAACCUGCAUAUUUUGUACAGAAAAUAUCAACCUCUUCCCUUUUGUUUACAAGAUGUUUUGUAUAAGUCUAUGUCUCUAAUACACUUUUCGUUUAUGAGUAUGGUCGUAAUGUCUGCAUGAUAUUUGUGCACACUUAUUAAGUAUUGAAGCUUAAUAAAUUAUUGUGUCCUGGUGCCAAAGGGGGCCAGCCAGAGCUGAGGUGCUGGCUAGAUCGUGUGAAUUCACACAAAUGUAGAGGUCCAUGAUAUUUGCCAAGCUAGGUGUGUCUAAGAAUAUUUUAAACCCUUGUGGAUUUUCAUUAUUAAAAAAAUGAAACAUGGCAAUUCA